rnacentral:rRNA from 1 species
GGGUUGUGAGGUUAAGCGAAUAAGCGUACACGGUGGAUGCCUAGGCAAUCAGAGGCGAUGAAGGACGUGCUAAUCUGCGAAAAGCGUCGGUAAGGUGAUAUGAACCGUUAUAUCCGACGAUAUCCGAAUGGGGAAACCCAGUAUCCAAUGGAUACUAUCAUUAACUGAAUCCAUAGGUUAAUGAGGCGAACCGGGAGAACUGAAACAUCUCAGUACCCCGAGGAAAAGAAAUCAACCGAGAUUCCCCUAGUAGCGGCGAGCGAACGGGGAGCAGCCCAGAGUCUUAAUCAAUAGCAGUGUCAGGAGAACGGUCUGGAAAGUCCGGCAGUAAAGGGUGAUAGCCCCGUAUCUGAAGAUGCUGUUAUUGUGAACUCGACGAGUAGGGCGGGACACGUGUUAUCCUGUCUGAAUAUGGGGGGACCAUCCUCCAAGGCUAAAUACUCCUGAUUGACCGAUAGUGAACCAGUACCGUGAGGGAAAGGCGAAAAGAACCCCGGCGAGGGGAGUGAAAAAGAACCUGAAACCGUGUACGUACAAGCAGUAGGAGCC